GUGAGUGAAAGCCUUCGGCUCAACCGAAGAAGUGCAUCGGAAACUGGGAAACUUCCCUGAAGAAGAGGACAGUGGAACUCCAUGUGUAGCGGUGAACUGCGUAGAUAUAUGGAAGAACACCAGUGGCGAAGGCGGCUGUCUGGUCUGUAACUGACGCUGAGGCUCGAAAGUAUGGGUAGCAAACAGGAUUAGAUACCCUGGUAGUCCAUACCGUAAACGAUGAAUGCUAAGUGUUGGAGGGUUUCCGCCCUUCAGUGCUGCAGCUAACGCAUUAAGCAUUCCGCCUGGGGAGUACGGCCGCAAGGCUGAAACUCAAAGGAAUUGACGGGGGCCCGCACAAGCGGUGGAGCAUGUGGUUUAAUUCGAAGCUACGCGAAGAACCUUACCAGGUCUUGACAUACUAUGCAAAUCUAAGAGAUUAGACGUUCCCUUCGGGGACAUGGAUACAGGUGGUGCAUGGUUGUCGUCAGCUCGUGUCGUGAGAUGUUGGGUUAAGUCCCGCAACGAGCGCAACCCUUAUUAUCAGUUGCCAGCAUUAAGUUGGGCACUCUGGUGAGACUGCCGGUGACAAACCGGAGGAAGGUGGGGAUGACGUCAAAUCAUCAUGCCCCUUAUGACCUGGGCUAA
rnacentral:rRNA from 1 species